rnacentral:rRNA from 11 species
GAAAAGAAAUCAACCGAGAUUCCGUAAGUAGUGGCGAGCGAACGCGGAAAAGCCCAAACCAGAGUAGUUACGGCUACCCUGGGGUUGUAGGACUGCAACAUCCGAUCAAAAAAGAACUGGAAUUACCUGGGAAGGUAAACGAUACAAGGUGAAAGUCCUGUACAGGCAAUUUUUUGUUAGGUAGCAGUAUCCUGAGUAGGGCGGAACAGGUGAAAUUCCGUCUGAAUCUACCGGCACCAUCCGGUAAGGCUAAAUACUCCUGAGAGACCGAA